AAGCCGAAUCGAGCGAGCUCGAGGAGAGGAGAACCGUCACCGGUUCUCCUUCGCAGAGUGUCUCGAAUGUUCCUCAGACAUUCAAGCAUGUAUUCUCGCAGGAGAGAAAAAGAGAUACCGCCGUGCGUGAUACCGAUGAAUUGCCAAGUGCAGAUGUGCCGGCGUGCAAUCUCUCUAAGAACGAAUCCUUCUGGAUUUCCCAAGUGCAUCCGACACCGGCGGAGCCUCGGGUCUUGUAAAGAACGAACUUGUAAAGAUCCGAUUGGUUAGAUCUUUGAGUGUCUAGGGCAAGGAACAAUCGAUCGAAAGAUCUACUUGAAUCGACUCCAACGCGCACGUUGCCGCGUUUAGGCGGCAGUCGUGUCGCGAGGCCAUGUUGGCAUUAAACCCUAGCAGCCAGCAUCAUCGAUCCUGGCCAGCUGUGACCAAUCGCGAUGUACCUUCCAACCGGAGUCGGAGUACUGCGCGGAGAAGCAAGGAGAGGAGGAAGAGGAGAAGAAGAAUCGCGAGGGGAAGGACAAGGUGCGACGAGGAGUGUGUGUAGUGAAAGAAGGGAAUCGGCCAGACAACAACGGCAUUUUUCCCGCGGGAGACUCCCUUUGCAUCGACAUUCCCCCUUUCCACACGGAGAACAACCGUUAACUUCGACCUGGCAACCGCCGCCGCCGUGUUCUUGAUCCGCUCCCGGCCGGCCAAGAGGAGAGAACGACCUUUCCCGACAGGAGCCUCGAGACGCGGGGUCUCGGAUGUCAAAGACCGGGUGGGAGCGCCUUCGUUUCCUUUCGUUCGCGCUUGGCUUCCCCCGGGCACCUUGACGGGGCCUCGGAUCGCCCAAUUAUUACCGCAACCGGAUCGAGACUCGGGCCUGAUCUCGUUGAAUGUUUAAUGAGCGCCGCCGCCACGCUUCCUUUCCGCGCACGUUCACGACCCCGUGGCGGAAGAAUGCGUUUGGCUGUUUUCUUUUUCUUUUUAUUUUUCUUCGAAAGGUUUCUUCCGGCGAUUCGCGAUAAGAAAAAAAGGGGCAUGGUUGAUUGUCAUUAUUGCUGUAAUUUAUGCAACGAAUGUAUCAUUGGUUCCUUUUAAACGAUAGCAUCGAGGCUUAUUUAAGAACACAUUUUUAUUUUUAAUCGAAUUUAUUGUUGGAUGAUCCCAAAGAAGGGAUGCAAACGUCAUUUAUAUGUAUAUGCUCGAAAUAUGAGAUCAGGUUCGGCAAACUUGACAUUUCUCGCGAUCGAAAGAGAACGAUCUUGAUUUUUAACACAAUUAAAUCCCCCGAUUUUUAAAUUCGAUUCUCAAAAAGAAUAUUGAAUAAUCGUAUUUUCAUUCGAUAUGAUUUGCAUAUAAGAAUCUUUUUUUUAUGGAGAAAAGAGACACACGCGAUCGUUUUAUAUUAUAAUACAAUAGACCGUAUUCGUGUCGUCGGAAUUAACAUUAAACGCCGAUGGUCUAUAUCUAAAUGACUGAUUAGAAUCAGAUAUUUCUAAAUUUACAGAUAAUUUUCAAAUGGAUAACAUGCGGAAGAGUUCGUAAAAAAUAGUCGAAACAUUUGUAAAAUCGAUAUAACCACUAACACAUAAGUAUCUAUCUUCUUAUGGUAAAACUUUAAGAUUGUCUGUGAUAUUACGUAGAUGAUAACUCUGUCGCGUUGCGAUAGGCAUCGAGAUAUCCCCUUAACGUAGGAAUAGCGAAUCAUCCGCAUGCCAUAUGCGAAAUAACACUGCACAAAAUUCUAGAAGGAUUCCAUUACGAUUACGCGCGAUAAACUUGGAUAUACCGUAACGUAAUUGUAACGUGGUCCUCGAUGAUGAAUAAUGGAAGUCUGAAUAAUAAGAUCACACUCAUUCCUUCAUUGCGUUCGACUUGUCGUUUCCCUUUUACAUCGAUCCGACAUCGUUCAUCCUACGCUAAUCUCGCCGAGCCGAUUGUCAUUCGAAGGUUAAGAGGUUAAAGGUUCAGUAAAAUAUCGCGCGCACGAGGCGGUGAUAUAUCUUUGUAAAUAAUAGCUAAAUAUUAAGCGAGUGAUUGCAAAUAUAUCGGGCGAGCGAUCAGAAAAGAUUCGACUUCGUCGUAAUUUCCUACUAGAUCUAUCUGUAUAGCUUACUCUAGGUAGCCUUUUGAACUUUUUAUAAGAGCAUGACCAUUGAGCUACUUCCAGAAUUCUUCCAUUUAGUCUGACUUUCCUAAUUAAUAUCCGCAAUGUAACAUAAGUGAAACAAACAACAUACUUAUUUACCCAUACAUAUAUACAUAUAUGCGCAUUGCGCAAUUACAUCUUUGUAUAUAUACAAAUAUACUACGAAAAUAAAUGUAGUCAAUGUGUCUUCGAA